ensembl:ncRNA Y106G6H.17 ncRNA
GACGAACAGCGCCCAUGACUAGUGAGUUAAUUAUUAUACAAUUGCAGUCAGCUUCGAAUUUCAGAUGGUUUGAUACGUGAACAACGAAUUUGCGUUCCAUCCGAUUCUCCUAUUGGGUGUAGAAAAGCUGUU